GUCAGCCUGGUGUAAUGGUUUGAGUGUUGGACUGAGGCUCUGGAGAGCAGGGUUCAAUUCCCUGCUUAGCCA